CAAUUGAACGUAUGUCCCUAUCUACUAUUUAGCGAAACCACAGCCAAGGGAACGGGCUUGGAAAAAUCAGCGGGGAAAGAAGACCCUGUUGAGCUUGACUCUAGUCUGACUCUAGUGUACUCUAGACUAGUUUGACUGAAAACAAUAAAAAAACAAUAUUGUUUUCUAUUGUCUUUUUUUGCUAGGAGGCAGAAAAAACUCUCACUUCUUGUGGCAUGUACGCGGGCCCCAGUUUCAGGGAGACUGACACGCUCUUGCACGUUGGGACGAGACGGCUGCUUCGGGUCAUUGACUCAGGAGAAGAAGCUACAGCCUAUCACGCAGCUGAUUGACGUUUUAACUCAAGGUACACAAGAAUGCCAUUUAAUGUUUGCAACAUGUCGGAAUACCUUUUUUUAGGUGUUACUAUUUCAAGACCCAAGUUUAUGGCAGAACGUUUUAUUGCAACAUACAAGCAUCAUUCACAGCCAGUGUUGUUCCCGUUACCGAAAAAAGUAUCGAAAUAGCGUUACUCGUUAGUUUGGUAAAAGUAACGCGUUAUCGAGCUACGUUACUCUUUUGCAACGUAACGAUAUACC
rnacentral:ncRNA from 1 species